rnacentral:miRNA from 1 species
UUCCGGUCGACGAGGUACAUGUACCUCGUUGACUGGAAGGAAAUCCUUCCAGCCGGCAAGGUACAUGUACCUCGUCAACUGGAA